UCUCCACUCCAUGCUGCCGCUGCCAAGGUAGAAAUGUCUCUUGUCGACCACCCAGAAGGAUGAGUGGAGGUGACCCUUGGUCAGCACUGUGGUGUUCACAAAGUGAACCUCGGCACCUGCAAGCAUUAAGAAGCAGGCUGGAAGCUGGACUCGUAUUCGGAGGAGUUGAGGAGCCACAGCGGUGACACGAUCUCCACAACGCGGACGGCUUGAUCCAAUCACCUUAGAAUGAAGACAAAGUCAACAAUGGCGUCUCUCAGGUCUGCCUGGUUGGCCACGCCUAUAAGAACAGCUGAUAGGCAACACGUCACAGUGGUCAGGUGACCCUUCUUAAGAAGAUUGCCGAUGACAGUCGAAACAUGUCAGGACAGCGUCAGAAGCACAGCAAGUUCAAUGCAGGAAAUAUAUUUUUACAACUGAAAGCAGCAAUAGCAUUACAAUAAAAUGAACUUGAUAUCAAAUAGAAGGAGGCAACAUCCCACAGCAAACAACACACAACAAGUAGCACAC